CGCAAUGGGCGAAAGCCUGACGGAGCAACGCCGCGUGAGUGAUGAAGGUCUUCGGAUCGUAAAACUCUGUUAUUAGGGAAGAACAAAUGUGUAAGUAACUAUGCACGUCUUGACGGUACCUAAUCAGAAAGCCACGGCUAACUACGUGCCAGCAGCCGCGGUAAUACGUAGGUGGCAAGCGUUAUCCGGAAUUAUUGGGCGUAAAGCGCGCGUAGGCGGUUUUUUAAGUCUGAUGUGAAAGCCCACGGCUCAACCGUGGAGGGUCAUUGGAAACUGGAAAACUUGAGUGCAGAAGAGGAAAGUGGAAUUCCAUGUGUAGCGGUGAAAUGCGCAGAGAUAUGGAGGAACACCAGUGGCGAAGGCGACUUUCUGGUCUGUAACUGACGCUGAUGUGCGAAAGCGUGGGGAUCAAACAGGAUUAGAUACCCUGGUAGUCCACGCCGUAAACGAUGAGUGCUAAGUGUUAGGGGGUUUCCGCCCCUUAGUGCU
rnacentral:rRNA from 1 species